rnacentral:tRNA from 8 species
CGGGGUGUGGCGCAGCUUGGUAGCGCACCUGCUUUGGGAGCAGGGGGCCGCAGGUUCAAAUCCUGUCACCCCGACCG